AGCCAGAACACAAGUUAAUUUAUCCAGCCUCCCACCAACAAUUGGAGCUACUGAGGAACAUGGACGCCGCGUUUAUCUUCAAGUUCAAUUAUGGUUGGGGAAUGAUGAGCUCAAUCCGGAGGACUGGGGUUGGAAACUGAUUGAUCAAGUAUUCUGCCCCAUCAUGACAAGGAUACCACCUGCUCCAGAUUCGAUCUUGGAAAUGAUAUCCUGUUCAUGUAAAGGAAACUGUACAACCCGAUGUGGAUGCAGAAAAGCCGGGCUCAAGUGCUCCAGCAUCUGCUCAAGGUGUCAGGGCAAUGCCUGUCUGAAUACCAGGGAAAUCGAUGUAUCCAGUGACAUAUCAGAGAUUUCCAGCGAUUCUGCUGAAGAAUUUCUGGAUCAAUUCGAGUCUAUCAUUGGUGCACACAUGGAAGAAACUUUCAAUGACAACGAGAACGAGUUAUCCUCUCAGUCUCCACUGAACGACAGUUCAGUUAUAUUUGCUGAGGAAUGUGAAGACACACCGAGCUGCAGUGAGGUUACUGCUCCUAAAAAACCACGUUUAAAAUAGAAAAAAAGCUUUUAUUCACAUUCUUGAACACCGACAACUACAGCAGAGGAAAACAGCAAUGACCUUCUCCAACUAAAUUAUUAUAAUAAAUGAUGAAUUAAAUCAUUGAUAGUAUUUGAUUGAGUUGCGCGCGCCGAAAAGGGGCCGGUCUCGGAGUCUCAUGUUAUUAUUGAGCGUAAUGUGAGGUUGAAGAAUUUCAGCAUUUUUUUUCGUGACGGAUGAAAUGAUGUUUAAACAUUUGGAUAUGUUGUGCAGGACCAUCACACCAUACUUCCAUCAGCCAGAUUGACUAGAUGUGUGAAUAGGGGAAUUACAAAGGAUUGAG